rnacentral:rRNA from 1 species
UACGUAGGGUGCAAGCGUUGUCCGGAAUUAUUGGGCGUAAAGGGCUCGUAGGCGGUCCAUCGCGUCGGGAGUGAAAACUUGGGGCUUAACCCUGAGCUUGCGGUCGAUACGGGCAUCACUGGAGUUCGGCAGGGGAGACUGGAAUUCCUGGUGUAGCGGUGAAAUGCGCAGAUAUCAGGAGGAACACCGGUGGCGAAGGCGGGUCUCUGGGCCGAUACUGACGCUGAGGAGCGAAAGCGUGGGGAGCGAACAGG